rnacentral:rRNA from 1 species
GGCCUUCGGGAACUGUAAGACAGGUGCUGCAUGGCUGUCGUCAGCUCGUGUUGUGAAAUGUUGGUUAAGUCCCGCAACGAGCGCAACCCUUUAUCCUUAGUUGCCAGCGAUUCGGUCGGGAACUCUAGGGAGACUGCCGGUGAUAAACCGGAGGAAGGUGGGGACGACGUCAAGUCAUCAUGGCCCUUACGAGUAGGGCUACACACGUCAUACAAUGGUCGGUACAGAGGGCUGCCAACCCGCGAGGGGGAGCUAAUCCCACAAAACCGAUCGUAGUCCGGAUUGCAGUCUGCAACUCGACUGCAUGAAGUCGGAAUCGCUAGUAAUCGCGGAUCAGCAUGUCGCGGUGAAUACGUUCCCGGGUCCUU